rnacentral:rRNA from 1 species
UACAGAGGUCGCGAGCGUUAAUCGGAUUUACUGGGCGUAAAGCGUGUGUAGGUGGUUGUGCAAGUCGGUUGUGAAAUCCCUGGGCUCAACCUGGGAACUGCUUCCGAGACUGUGCGACUAGAGGUCGGUAGAGGGCGGUGGAAUUUCCGGUGUAGCGGUGAAAUGCGUAGAUAUCGGAAGGAACGCCCGUGGCGAAAGCGAGGUCCUGGACGUCUACUGACGCUGAGACGCGAAAGCUAGGGGAGCAAACGGG